rnacentral:rRNA from 1 species
UACGGAGGGGGCUAGCGUUGUUCGGAAUUACUGGGCGUAAAGCGCACGUAGGCGGCUUUGUAAGUUAGAGGUGAAAGCCCAGGGCUUAACCCUGGAAUUGCCUUUAAGACUGCAUCGCUAGAAUCGUGGGAGAGGUGAGUGGAAUUCCGAGUGUAGAGGUAGAAAUUCGUAGAUAUUCGGAAGAACACCAGUGGCGAAGGCGACUCACUGGACACGUAUUGACGCUGAGGUGCGAAAGCGUGGGGAGCAA